rnacentral:lncRNA from 1 species
CCGGAGAGUCCGAGGGACGCGUGCGUGCGCGCGCCCGCGGCCCCGCCCUCGCCGAGGUCAGACCCGGGGCGGGACCGGGAGCCUGGAGGGGCGGGGUCUGAACAAAGAGGGCGGGGCCGGGGAGGUCGAGGGGUGCGCGUUGGCUGGGUCUCCCGGAGGACCGGCUGUCACGUGUGUCGUGGGGCCUUGGGUACCCCGGUUAGGCACCGUUUGCGUGUCACGCUGCUGCAGUGCGUGUGUUGCGUAGGGCUGAAAUGUGUACGUGCUGAUCAUGUGUGGGGAAGCCGCCCUGGAGUCAGCUACCCCGAAUUCCAGCAAAGCCUCUCCCCAACUCUGUGGCCUUCCACAAGUUGCUUAACCCCUCUGAGCCUCACUGUUUCUUCAUCUGGAAAAUCUGGGUAGUGAAAAUGACUUCCUCAAACAGUUGCGGGGAGGAUGACAUUACGUAAUGGACAUGAAGCACUCAGCACUGAGCACCUGCACCUGACUACAGGCUCAGGCGGAGUUUGGAGAGGCUGACCAUGUGUUCAGUGACCCUGUCAGUGCAAUUGGAAAUCCUGAGUGUGGGGCUGUGUGUGCAGUGGGGGAAAGGGUCAGAGAGUGGGGCCCUACCUUUUUGGGGCAAAGCCCCACACUAUCCCCUUACAGACACCCUCAGAGGAGGGGAAGCCAGGGAGGUGGGGGAGAGCGGAAGGCACCAAGGUUGGGGCUGAGAGGCAUCUGACAAGGAGGAAGGCAUCAAGAGUGACAACGCUGGGCAGAGCACAUGGCUGCGUGGCCUGUCAGCUGGGGCUGCUUGUGGCUUGGACAUCCCUGGUCUCAGGGUGGAAGUGGGGCUGCUGGGGCUGAAGGGGAAGCAGGGACAGGGACAUCCUCAACUACUCUUUCUGGAAGCCAGUGAGGAAGGAAGACAGCCUGGGGCUUAACAGCAGGGCCAGGAGAAUGGAUGAAUGAAUGGGACCCUUCCUCAUGCCUCACUCAUCACUGGGCCUGCCCUGGCCUCAGCCUUCAGUCUUCAUGGAGGCCAGCAAUUGCUGCCAGCAGCCCUGGCCAUGCCAACCUCCCCAGGUCUGGUCCGUACUAUUGGGCCUCAGUUUCUCCAUCUGUAAACUGAGAGGGCGGGACCAGACAGCACAUUCCACGAGCACAUCUUGCCCCCUUCCCAAGUGCCAAUCCUCAGACACCCACGAAACACUUCCACUGUGACUGGAGUGAGGCGGCAGUUCAUCCGUUCAGAACAAGACCCCCAUGUGCACACGACUAGAAGGGCCUACUUCACAAAAAUUAUGGUGGUAAGUUGCAGCUGGGUGGAAGCUCUACUGGUUUUCAUUUUACUUCUCUGAAUUUCUAAUUUCUAAAAUCAGUAUUUUAAUAAUCAGCUCUAUGUGAUAAAUGCUGUUUUUGAGACAGUCUCACUGUCACCCAGGCUGGAGUGCAGUGGUGUGAUCUCGGCUCACUAAGGCCUCCGCCUCUUGGGGUCAAGUGAUUUUCCUGCCUCAGCCUCUCGAGGAGCUGGGAUUAUAGGCACCUGCCACCAUGCCCAGCUAGUUCUGUAUUUUUCGUAGAGACAGGGUUUCACCAUGUUGGCCAGGCUGAUCUUGAACUCCUGACCUCAAGUGAACCGCUCGCCUCGGCCUCCCAAAGAGCUGGGAUUACAGGCAGGAGCACUACGCCCAGCCUGUUUUUGUUUUUUUUUUAAGAAGCAAGAUGGGUAGAUUUGAUUUGGGAUGGAGAUCCCUAGAGGCUGUUUAGGAAGCCUCCAAGCCGUUUGGCCAGGGAGGGUAAUGUGGGUGAGGCGUAUUUCGAGGCAGGAGGUCCCCACAGGGCCACAAAGAGGUGACCGAGACACUGCCCUCGGCCCUAAGCUCCUCCUCCCAUCCCUUUCUUCUGGGGCCAAGCUCCCAAUGCCUCCGGAAACUGAAAGUCCAGAAGCUGCCUGCCACUGACUUUAUCUCCUCUGCUCUCUUUAUCUCCUUCGCUGAGUGAUGGGCCUGGGAACAAGCGCCCACCCGUUUUAUAGCCCAGAAGGACAAGUGACUCAUGAGGACAUAGAGGAAUCACCACUAUUCUGGCCUUGAAGGUCCUGGGUGCUGGGGCGAGGGGUGGCCCCAAGGAGGCUGGAGUGGUGAAGAGUAAAGAAUUCAUCACACUAAACCCCCCAACGCGGCUGGCCUGGCUCCCUCCCAUCUGACUAUAUCAUCUACAGGAGCCAGGGCGGGGGAGGGCGUUACUUAGCCAGUCCCUCUGGCCGGUGUCUGUUUUUACAAAGUUCCUCUUCCUGCCUUGUUCCCCUACCUUUGGGACUCACCUCCCAACUUCUGGGAAGCCUGAUCACUGCUCUGGCUGUACAUGAGACACACACACACAGACAGACACAAAGAUACACAGAGAUGCACACACAGAGACACACACAUAGAGACAGAGACACAGACACACACACACACACAGAGACACAAAGAUACACAGAGACACACACACACACAGACACACAAAGAUACACAGAGAUGCACACAGAGACACACACAUAGAGACAGAGACACAGACACACACACACACACAGAGACACAAAGAUACACAGAGAUGCACACACAGAGACACACACAUAGAGACAGAGACACAGACACACACACACACACAGAGACACAAAGAUACACAGAGAUGCACACACAGAGACACACAGAGAGACAGAGACACAGACACACACACACACAGACACAAAGAUACACAGAGAUGCACACACAGACACACACAUAGAGACAGAGACACAGACACACACACACAGAGACACAUACAUAGAGACAGAGACACAGACACACACACAGACCCACAGAGACACAUAGAGACAGAGACACAGGCACACACACACACACAUAGAGACAGACACAGAGACACAGACGCACAGAGACAGACACAGGCACACACAUUUAGAGACGGAGACACACACACAGAGACAUUGGAACAGAGACACACACGCAGAGAUAGAGACACACAGACAGAGACAUACCUACUCAGAGACAUAGAGACAGACACAGAGGCUGGGUGUGGUGGCUCAUGCCUGUAACCCAGAGCUUAGGGAGGCAGAGGCAGGAUUUCUUGAGCCCAGAAAUUGGAGACCAGCCUGGGCAACAUAGCAAGACCCCAUUCUCCACAAAAAGGGAAAAAACAAGUUUGAGAUAGACACAGACACACACACACAGAUAUAGAGACAUAGACACAGAUACACACACAUAGAGACAGAAACACAGAUACACAUGCCCCCCUAAUGAAGGCACAGAUAAAGUUCCCUGCACAGGAUGUGUUGCCCAAUGCCCUCAGAUCGGGCGGGCCUGACUCUGCCUCACACUGUUAGCAACUGGGGUUGGCAUUCAUGGGACGCCUCCUGCAUGCAAGACCCUCUCCUGAGGCCUCCUGUAAGCUGUGGGGACACCCUAACCAAGGGCAAGGCCAUCCUGGGACAGCGUGUGUCACCAGUGGAGGAACGCAGCACCACUCACAGUGUUCUCCUCAAAACCCAAACCUAAAUCAAGGCAGGCCUCUGCAUAUAACUGCCAUUUGUGGGAUUACAGGGGACAGAGAAACAUGUUCAACACACCACAAGGGUGCAAUCCACAAAUCCAGGCUGUGGGAACCUCUAUGGGACAAACAACCCAGUUUCUUCAACAAAUACAUUUCAGAGGAAAAAGAAAGGGGAAACUAGACUAAAAGAAGGGUCAGAGACGUCUAACAAAUGCAAUGUGUGGAUUUUGGAUCAUGAUGUCAGCAAGACAACUGUUUAAAAAAAACAACUAUAAGACAUGUGGAUUGUCUGAACACUGCUACAUAUUGGAUGACAUUAGACAUCUUUUUAGGUGUGAGAAUGGUGUUGCCGUCACUAGUAGAGUUACAUCUUGGGCUAUCUGUGGAUGGCAUCACAUGCCUGGGAUUCAUGUAAACAUCUCCAGGGGCGGGCAGGGAGUGGGGCAGUGAGAGGUGAACAAGAGUGGCCCUGCACCGAUGGUCGUGAAAGCUGGGGGUCUUUAUGCCAUUUUCUCUAUUUUUGUGUCUAUUUGGAAUUAUCCAUAAUAAAAGUUAUAAGAAGAAAAAU